rnacentral:rRNA from 1 species
AUUGAACGCUGGCGGCAUGCUUUACACAUGCAAGUCGAACGGUAACAGGGAGCUUGCUCCGCUGACGAGUGGCGAACGGGUGAGUAAUGCAUCGGAACGUACCCAGUCGUGGGGGAUAACGUAGCGAAAGUUACGCUAAUACCGCAUACGUCCUGAGGGAGAAAGCGGGGGACCGUAAGGCCUCGCGCGAUUGGAGCGGCCGAUGGCAGAUUAGGUAGUUGGUGGGAUAAAAGCUUACCAAGCCGACGAUCUGUAGCUGGUCUGAGAGGACGACCAGCCACACUGGGACUGAGACACGGCCCAGACUCCUACGGGAGGCAGCAGUGGGGAAUAUUGGGCAAUGGGCGAAAGCCUGACCCAGCCAUGCCGCGUGAAUGAUGAAGGUCUUAGGAUUGUAAAGUUCUUUAGCCUGUGACGAUGAUGACGGUAACAGGAGAAUAAGCCCGGCUAACUUCGUGCCAGCAGCCGCGGUAAGUGCGACGACA